rnacentral:rRNA from 1 species
AUUGAACGCUGGCGGCAUGCCUAACACAUGCAAGUCGAACGGAGGUAGGGGCAACUCUACUUCAGUGGCGGACGGGUGAGGAAUGCGUCGGAAUCUACCCUAUGGUGGGGGAUAACACAGGGAAACUUGUGCUAAUACCGCAUAAUGUCGAGAGACCAAAGCAGGGGACCGCAAGGCCUUGCGCGAUAGGAUGAGCCGACGCCCGAUUAGCUAGUUGGUAGGGUAAAGGCCUACCAAGGCGACGAUCGGUAGCUGGUCUGAGAGGAUGAUCAGCCACACUGGGACUGAGACACGGCCCAGACUCCUACGGGAGGCAGCAGUGGGGAAUAUUGGACAAUGGGCGCAAGCCUGAUCCAGCAAUGCCGCGUGUGUGAAGAAGGCCUGCGGGUUGUAAAGCACUUUUGUUCGGAAGAAUCAUGCUGGUUAAUACCUGGUAUGGAUGACGGUACCGAAAGAAUAAGCACCGGCUAACUUCGUGCCAGCACG